rnacentral:rRNA from 1 species
UACAGAGGUCUCAAGCGUUGUUCGGAUUCAUUGGGCGUAAAGGGUGCGUAGGCGGCGCGGUAAGUCGGGUGUGAAAUCUUGGAGCUUAACUCCGAAACUGCAUUCGAUACUGCCGUGCUUGAGGACUGGAGAGGAGACUGGAAUUUACGGUGUAGCGGUGAAAUGCGUAGAUAUCUACAGGAACGCCGAUGGUGAAGACGGUCCGCUGGGCAUGUCCUGACGCUGAGGCACGAAAGCGUGGGGAGCAAACAGG